ensembl:lncRNA
ACAGCAUGUGGCUCACAUACUCAAGUCUCUUUCCUUUCACCAAGAAAAACAGAACACGAGGCCACAAAAGACUCUUUUGUAGGAGAAGACCACAUGGACACGGUGCAUGGAAACCUCUACUCCUUUCUAGAGCCAGCUUCUGUCUCUGACGGUGUCGGCCGCUUUGCCCCGAGGAAGGCUCCCGGAUGAGACCUUGCCCAUUCUGCUUACUGCUGCAGCCGCCUGAAGGGCCUCAGGGGGCAGACGUUCCAGAGCAACUGCGCCGCCGGGUGUCCAUGGGGACGGCGUCGCCAGAGCUGCGCGGAAGACCCCACACGUGUGACCCUGAAGUGCCGAUGCACACGUGUGCUGAGGCGGGUCAGAUCUGGAGGGAGCUGCCCGGGACCCGCAGGGACCCGCCGGGGCUGGGUGCUGCUCCCACAGACCCACUUCUGGCAGGAAACGCGAGCCGGGAGUGGCACUGAGCAGGGAGUGCCUUUUGUAAACACACUUUCUAGUCUAAGACCCCGAUUACCUCCAGACUACAGCAGUACCUUUUCCUUCCUGUCUCUCUGUAAGAGGCCGGCGCGGGAAGACUCGGAGCCCAGGACAAUCCAAGAGCAACUUCCCCUGAGGGCUCGGGGCUCAGGACGACAUGGCCUCUGUGUGGCCUCUGCACAAAGGCGGGGUCCUUCGAGGGACCCACAGAAGCUGACACCACAUGGAAGCCAGGCCUGCUCCCUGGCCUCACUCGUCUUCCCUAAGUCACUCGUCACCCCGUUGGCCUGGCUGACAGCCCACGCCCUCUCUCUGAAGCGGUAGUCAGGUGUCAACCAUCUGUCCCUUCUUCCAGCCUCACAGAAACUGAGUCACGUAUCGUUCACGUGACGCCUAUGUACCUGCAUGUUGAUAAUUAUUAAUAGUUAUUAACGUGGCUAUUCUCCAAUUAUUUUAUGGACUUGAAAAAUCUGAACAUCCAAGCGUGGGGAGAAAGCCCCUUCCCCCGCUCUCGUGCAGACGCUGCUGCAGCGACAGUCAGCUGGCCGGACGCAGCCUUGCACACGCAUCUAAGAGGCGCGUCUGGCCGGCCCGUUCUCUUGAAAUCUUUAUUGCUGAGAAAUACUGCAAAUAGACAUGCAUCCUAGCCUGCUCUAAGGUGAUAGAUGUUGAUUGGAUUGAUCCACUUCUCCUUAAUUCUCUAAUUAAAAUGAGAAUCAUGCAGAGGUUAUUUUCCAUCUUGAAAGUGGAGACCGGAAUAUUCCCACCCCACCUGACAGGAGGUUGCCUGCAGGUCAAAGAUGUGCCUCUUUAGUGCUAAAACAAAGGAAAGCAGCCAUGUACGUAGCUUAUAAGCAGAAUCCGCUUUUUACCACAUGGCCACCCAUCCACCCUAGCCCCAUGGCCACUGCCAAGGCUUCUCUUCGGAUGAUACCAGCCUAACUGGAUCAGACUCUGCUCUGACCCUUUGUCCUGGGUCCCCUCCCAGCCCUGAGCAAGCUCUCCACCUGCUCUGACAUUUGUCUCUUCUGAAGGAAUGCCAGUGGAAAUAACUGGCCAGAGCCGUAUCUGCAUGCAGCAGUGUGAAUGUGUGCAUGAGGCAGGUGGCCAUAUAUCCUGGACAGUGACCUGUCCUGGCUGAAUCUGACAUACCUGGC